rnacentral:rRNA from 1 species
CUGCCAGCCGCCGCGGUAAUACGGAGGUGCGAGCGUUAAUCGGAAUUACUGGGCGUAAAGGGCGCGUAGGCGGUCGCGCAAGUCGGGUGUGAAAGCCCCGGGCUCAACCUGGGAAUUGCAUUCGAUACUGCGUAACUAGAGUCUGGUAGAGGGAAGCGGAAUUCCGCAUGUAGCGGUGAAAUGCGUAGAUAUGCGGAGGAACACCAGUGGCGAAGGCGGCUUCCUGGACCAAGACUGACGCUGAGGCGCGAAAGCGUGGGGAGCAAACGGGAUUAGAUACCCUGGUAGUCCACGCCCUAAACGAUGAGGACUAGACGUUGGGGGGAUAAAACCCUUUAGUGUCGCAGCUAACGCGUGAAGUCCUCCGCCUGGGGAGUACGGCCGCAAGGUUGAAACUCAAAGGAAUUGGCGG